CAGCUCAACUUGCAUACACAUACCAAACAACACGAUGAGCAAACAUUCAUAGCUGAAAAAGCCAAACAAAUUCAUGAACAAGUUGAAUCGCAACGGGAGAUGUUGGCAGAAAAUGGGGAGCAGGUGGAUGACAAUCAAUUAUACUAUGACGCGGUUGGUGGACACGAUAAGAAAAGAAGAGUUUAUGGACUUGGUUCAUAUGGUUGUUCUGUUGUUC